rnacentral:tRNA from 1 species
GGAGUAUUAAAGAAAAAAGGAAAGCUUCUAACUUUUACUUAAGCGGUUAAAUUCCGUUUAUACUCCU